rnacentral:rRNA from 1 species
AACGAACGCUGGCGGCAUGCCUAACACAUGCAAGUCGAACGGAUGGUUUCGGCCAUCAGUGGCGCACGGGUGAGUAACGCGUGGGAAUCUGCCCAGCAGUGGGGGAUAACCUCUGGAAACGGAGGCUAAUACCGCAUACGCCCCUCGGGGGAAAGGCUUGCUGCUGCUGGAGGAGGCCGCGUCGGAUUGGGUAGUUGGUGGGGUAACGGCCUACCAAGCCUGUGAUCCGUAGCUGGUCUGAGAGGGUGAUCAGCCACACUGGGACUGAGACACGGCCCAGACUCCUACGGGAGGCAGCAGUGGGGAAUAUUGGACAAUGGGGGCAACCCUGAUCCAGCAAUGCCGCGUGAGUGAUGAAGGCCUUCGGGUUGUAAAGCUCUUUCGCCCACGACGAUGAUGACGGUAGUGGGAGAAGAAGCCCCGGCUAACUUCGUGCCAGCAGCCGCCGUAAAAC